CAUCCUCCAAGGCUAAAUACUCCUGACUGACCGAUAGUGAACCAGUACCGUGAGGGAAAGGCGAAAAGAACCCCGGCGAGGGGAGUGAAAAAGAACCUGAAACCGUGUACGUACAAGCAGUGGGAGCACCCUUCGGGGUGUGACUGCGUACCUUUUGUAUAAUGGGUCAGCGACUUAUAUUCUGUAGCAAGGUUAACCGAAUAGGGGAGCCGUAGGGAAACCGAGUCUUAACCGGGCGUUAAGUUGCAGGGUAUAGACCCGAAACCCGGUGAUCUAGCCAUGGGCAGGUUGAAGGUUGGGUAACACUAACUGGAGGACCGAACCGACUAAUGUUGAAAAAUUAGCGGAUGACCUGUGGCUGGGGGUGAAAGGCCAAUCAAACCGGGAGAUAGCUGGUUCUCCCCGAAAGCUAUUUAGGUAGCGCCUCGUGAAUUCAUCUCCGGGGGUAGAGCACUGUUUCGGCUAGGGGGCCAUCCCGGCUUACCAACCCGAUGCAAACUGCGAAUACCGGAGAAUGUUAUCACGGGAGACACACGGCGGGUGCUAACGUCCGUCGUGAAGAGGGAAACAACCCAGACCGCCAGCUAAGGUCCCAAAGUCAUGGUUAAGUGGGAAACGAUGUGGGAAGGCCCAGACAGCCAGGAUGUUGGCUUAGAAGCAGCCAUCAUUUAAAGAAAGCGUAAUAGCUCACUGGUCGAGUCGGCCUGCGCGGAAGAUGUAACGGGGCUAAACCAUGCACCGAAGCUGCGGCAGCGACACUCAGGUGUUGUUGGGUAGGGGAGCGUUCUGUAAGCCUGUGAAGGUGUGUCGUGAGGCAUGCUGGAGGUAUCAGAAGUGCGAAUGCUGACAUAAGUAACGAUAAAGCGGGUGAAAAGCCCGCUCGCCGGAAGACCAAGGGUUCCUGUCCAACGUUAAUCGGGGCAGGGUGAGUCGACCCCUAAGGCGAGGCCGAAAGGCGUAGUCGAUGGGAAACAGGUUAAUAUUCCUGUACUUGGUGUUACUGCGAAGGGGGGACGGAGAAGGCUAUGUUGGCCGGGCGACGGUUGUCCCGGUUUAAGCGUGUAGGUGUGUGUUCCAGGUAAAUCCGGUUCACUUUAACACUGAGGCGUGACGACGAGGCACUACGGUGCUGAAGCAACAAAUGCCCUGCUUCCAGGAAAAGCCUCUAAGCAUCAGGUAACAUCAAAUCGUACCCCAAACCGACACAGGUGGUCAGGUAGAGAAUAC
rnacentral:rRNA from 1 species